rnacentral:sRNA from 1 species
AUUGAAGGCAAGUUGCCCUUGAGCAGCUCUCUGAAGAUCAACUGCCUCCACAUUGCAUUCUUUGCCCCAAAACUCUUUCCUUUGGUUGUGCUAAGAGGUUAUGCCCAAGGUGCAUCACCUUUCAAGAACUGGAUCAUGAACAACUUUAUCCUCCUGGAAGAACAGCUCAUCAAGAAAUCCCAACAAAAGAGAAGAACUUCUCCGUCGAACUUUAAAGUCCGCUUCUUUGUGUUAACCAAAGCCAGCCUGGCGUACUUUGAGGAUCGUCAUGGGAAGAAGCGCACGCUGAAGGGGUCCAUUGAGCUCUCCCGAAUCAAAUGUGUUGAGAUUGUGAAAAGUGACAUCAGCAUCCCAUGCCACUAUAAAUACCCGUUUCAGGUGGUGCAUGACAACUACCUCCUAUAUGUGUUUGCUCCAGAUCGUGAGAGCCGGCAGCGCUGGGUGCUGGCCCUUAAAGAAGAAACGAGGAAUAAUAACAGUUUGGUGCCUAAAUAUCAUCCUAAUUUCUGGAUGGAUGGGAAGUGGAGGUGCUGUUCUCAGCUGGAGAAGCUUGCAGCAGGCUGUGCCCAAUAUGAUCCAACCAAGAAUGCUUCAAAGAAGCCUCUUCCUCCUACUCCUGAAGACAACAGGCGACCACUUUGGGAACCUGAAGAAACUGUGGUCAUUGCCUUGUAUGACUACCAAACCAAUGAUCCUCAGGAACUCGCACUGCGGCGCAACGAAGAGUACUGCCUGCUAGACAGUUCUGAGAUUCACUGGUGGAGAGUCCAGGACAGGAAUGGGCAUGAAGGAUAUGUACCAAGCAGUUAUCUGGUGGAAAAAUCUCCAAAUAAUCUGGAAACCUAUGAGUGGUACAAUAAGAGUAUCAGCCGAGACAAAGCUGAAAAACUUCUUUUGGACACAGGCAAAGAAGGAGCCUUCAUGGUAAGAGAUUCCAGGACUCCCGGAACAUACACUGUGUCUGUUUUCACCAAGGCUGUUGUAAGUGAGAACAAUCCCUGUAUAAAGCAUUAUCACAUCAAGGAAACAAAUGACAAUCCUAAGCGAUACUAUGUGGCUGAAAAGUAUGUGUUCGAUUCCAUCCCUCUUCUCAUCAACUAUCACCAACAUAAUGGAGGAGGUAAGCUCUAGAGCAGGGGUGGACCUGGGCCGCCCAGCAGGAGGUGAGCAGCAGGUGAGCAAGCAUUACCGCCUGAGCUCCGCCUUCUGUCAGAUCAGCGACAUUAGAUUCGCCUAAGAGUGCAAGCCCUAUUGUGAACAGCACUUGUGGAAUCUAGGUUGUGUGCUCCUUAUAAGAAUCAAAUGCCUGGUGAUCUGAGAUGGAACAGUUUCAUCCUGAAAGCAACCCCCUGCCACACCCUUCCAUGGAUAAACUGUCUUCCAAAAAGCCGGUCCCUGGUGCCAAAAAGGUUGGGGACUGCUGCUUUAGCGGACAAAGCCAAAGGGCACCUGAGUUAGGCUUUUUUGGCUAUCAAGGAAUACCUGAGGCUGGGUAAUUUAUAAAGAAAAGAGGUUUAAUUGGUCCGUGGCUGUAUAGGAAGCAUGGUGCCGGCAUCUUCUUGGCUUUUAGGGAGGCCUCAGGAAGCUUUCAGUCAUGGCAGAAGGCAAAAGGGGAGCAGGAGUAUCACAUGGCAGGAGCAGGAGCAAGGAGGGAGAAGAUGCCACAGACAUUUAAACAACCAGGUCUUGCAUGAACUCAGAGUGAUAACUCAUUUAUUAUCACAAGGACAGUGACAGCACCAAGGCAUUUGUGAUGGAUCCCACCCAAUGACUCAAACACCUCCCAUCCCGCCAGGCCCCACCUCCAACAUAGGGCUUUUCUUUUCUUUUCUUCCCUUUCCUUUCCUUUCCUUUCUUUUCUUUUCUUUUUUUUUUUUUUUUUUGAGACAGAGUUUUGCUCUGUUGCCCAGGCUGGAGUGCAGUGGCUCAAUCUUGGCUAACUGCAACCUCCACCUCCCAGGUUCAAGCGAUUCUCCUGCCUCAGCCUCCUGAUUAACUGGGAUUACAGGCAUGUGCCACCACACCCAGCUAAUUUUGGUAUUUUUGGUAGAGACAGGGUUUCACCACAUUGGCCAGGCUGGUCUUGAACUCCCGACCUCAGGUAAUCUGCCCGCCUCAGCCUCCCAAACUGCUGGGAUUACAGGUGUAAGCCACAGUGCCCAGCCAGGGUUUACAUUUCAACAUGAGAUUUGGAGGGGACAAACAUCCAAACUAUAUCAGCACCCACACAGGAGACUUAAUGAAAACUGGCAAAAGCCCACCCUGGCUUCUUUUUGACUAUAAAUAAUAAAUAAAUAUACAAAUAGAAAAAUAUGACAAAUAUUUAAUUAUAUUAUAUAUCUUCUAUUAGCAAGCUAUCUUGUGGAAAUAAUGGAAUUUUACCACCUGCCCAUCUGUGCUUAUGAUGUUUUCAAGGAGGAUAUGAUAUCAGUAAUUAGGCUUUGGGAUUUGUUUUCCAGAAUAAAAUUAGCUUUUGAGUCUGAUUAUUAUUAUUUUUUUUAGUGAUUUAAGUUAGAUGGUUGUUAGAGCAAAGCCCUAACCACUGCUUCUUGGCUUUUCAAUCAACCCAGGCCUGGUGACACGACUCCGGUAUCCAGUGUGUUUUGGGAGGCAGAAAGCCCCAGUUACAGCAGGGCUGAGAUACGGAAAAUGGGUGAUCGAUCCCUCGGAGCUCACUUUUGUGCAAGAGAUUGGCAGUGGGCAAUUUGGGUUGGUGCAUCUGGGCUACUGGCUCAACAAGGACAAGGUGGCUAUCAAAACCAUUCGGGAAGGGGCUAUGUCAGAAGAGGACUUCAUAGAGGAGGCUGAAGUCAUGAUGAAACUCUCUCAUCCCAAACUGGUGCAGCUGUAUGGGGUGUGCCUGGAGCAGGCCCCCAUCUGCCUGGUGUUUGAGUUCAUGGAGCACGGCUGCCUGUCAGAUUAUCUACGCACCCAGCGGGGACUUUUUGCUGCAGAGACCCUGCUGGGCAUGUGUCUGGAUGUGUGUGAGGGCAUGGCCUACCUGGAAGAGGCGUGUGUCAUCCACAGAGACUUGGCUGCCCGAAAUUGUUUGGUGGGAGAAAACCAAGUCAUCAAGGUGUCCGACUUUGGGAUGACAAGGUUCGUUCUGGAUGAUCAGUACACCAGUUCCACAGGCACCAAAUUCCCGGUGAAGUGGGCAUCCCCAGAGGUUUUCUCUUUCAGUCGCUAUAGCAGCAAGUCAGAUGUGUGGUCAUUUGGUGUGCUGAUGUGGGAAGUUUUCAGUGAAGGCAAAAUCCCGUAUGAAAACCGAAGCAACUCAGAGGUGGUGGAAGACAUCAGUACCGGAUUUCGGUUGUACAAGCCCCGGCUGGCCUCCACACAUGUCUACCAGAUUAUGAAUCACUGCUGGAAAGAGAGACCAGAAGAUCGGCCAGCCUUCUCCAGACUGCUGCGUCAACUGGCUGAAAUUGCAGAAUCAGGACUUUAGUAGAGACUGAGUACCAGGCCACGGGCUGCAGAUCCUGAAUGGAGGAAGGAUAUGUCCUCGUUCCAUAAAGCAUUAGAAGCUGCCACCAGCCCAGGACCCUCCAGAGGCAGCCUGGCCUGUGGCAUCAGUCCCUGAGUCACCAUGGAAGCAGCAUCCUGACCACAGCUGGCAGUCAAGCCACAGCUGGAGGGUCAGCCACCAAGCUGGGAGCCGGGCCAGAACAGGAGUGAUGUCUCUGCCCUUCCUCUAGCCUCUUGUCACAUGUGGUGCACAAACCUCAACCUGACAGCUUUCAGACAGCGUUCUUGCACUUCUUAGUAAUAGAGAGAGACGUGAGUAAGACCCAGAUUGCUAUUUUUAUUGUUAUUUUUAACAUGAAUCUAAAGUUUAUGGUUCCAGGGACUUUUUAUUUGACCCAACAACACAGUAUCCCAGGAUAUGGAGGCAAGGGGAACAAAGAGCAUGACUCUUUUUCUGAGAAAACUGGUGAGUUAAGUAAGGUUAGAGUGAGUGUGCUCCGUUGCUGUGAUGCUGUCAGCCACAGCUUCCUGCCGUAGAGAAUGAUAGAGCAGCUGCUCAAACAGGAGGCCGGAUAUUCUAAGAAGCAGCUCUAUGAGGUUUUACAGAGUAUGCUGCUACCUCUCUCCUUGAAGGGAGCACGGUGAGACCCAUUGGAUGGGUUAGGGUGAACAGUUCAGGUCCCAUGCUUGCAGCAUUUUGUAUCUGAUGUCUGCACCAAAACGAGAACUUCUGACGGUGGAGAACCAUGUGGUACAAGAGGAGAUCUUAGGUCUGUUCUUUUAUACCAAGCUCAUCUUUUAUACCAAGCUGUGCAGGUGACUAUGCCUCCUCUUCUGCACAGAAUGCUUCCACCAGCAUCCUGAGAAGAAAUGAUUACUUCUGAAAAACAUCCUUUUUUCCAGCCUCUAGGAAUCAGCCCCCUCUCUGCACUAUCCGAUCCCCAUCAACAGAGGGCAGCAUUGUGUUGGUCAGUGUUGCCUUGGAGAGCAAUUGAAACUUGUUUAGGCCCUAGGGUUGAGCAAAUUUAAGGUUGAGACUCCAAGUCUCCUAAAAUUCUAGGAGAGAAAUAAAGAGUCUGUUCUUGCUCAAACCAUCAGGAUGGAAACAGUCAGGCGCUGACUGGGGUGCUUCCAAGAGGCAUGAGAAUGCCUACUCUGGCUUGAGAACUUCUAUAUGCAAGGUGAAUAUGUACUGAGCUAGGAGACUUCCCUGCAAAAUCUCUUCACCCUGGGUUCACAUCCCCAUGAGGUGGUAUUAUUAUUCCCUUUUUACAAAUAAUGUAACUGAGGCUUUAAAAAGCCAAGACAUCUGCCCAAAGUGAUGGAACUAGAAAGUCCGGAGCUGGCAUUCUAGCCCAAAUCUGUCUGACCCCAAUACACAGAUUAUUUAUUCCUAUUCGACACUGCCUCCUACUGGAAAUGAAAGGGAUUGCAGAGGGAAUAAAUACAAAGAUGGAAAGCCAGUAAAGAAGUCAAUAUAGAACCACUAGCGAAUAGUGUUCCUCUGGCACAGACCGCUGUGGUUGAUGGCAUGGCCCUCCAACUUGGAACAGGAUUUUCCUUUUCCUAUUCUGUAUCCUUACCUUGGUCAUGUUAAUGACUUUGGAGUUAUUCAGUUAAAGAACCCUUUAAUUCUCACAACCAACCAGUCAUGUUGCUUGAAGCCGUUUAUAGACAAGCUUCAAAGCAACUUUAAAAGAUUCUUCUGUAGAAGUAUGAGUUCUUCCUUUAAUUAUCAUGCCAACUUUCAGCUGUAGUCUUCUUGAACACUUCAUGAGGAGGGACAUUCCCUGAUAUAAGAGAGGAUGGUGUUAGAAUUGGCUCUUUCUGAAUCAUGUGUCAUUUUGACUGGCUUGAGAUUCAGAUGCAUAAUUUUUAAUUAUAAUUAUUGUGAAGUGGAGAGCCUCAAGAUAAAACUCUGUCAUUCAGAAGAUGAUUUUACUCAGCUUAUCCAAAAUUAUCUCUGUUUACUUUUUAGAAUUUUGUACAUUAUCUUUUGGAACCUUUAAUUAGAGGUGAUUUCUAGAACAUUCAGUCUAGAAAGAAAACAUUGGAAUUGACUGAUCUCUGUGGUUUGGUUUAGAAAAUUCCCCUGUGCAUGGUAUUAUCUUUUUCAGGCUCAGAUUCAUCAAAUCCUUAAAUGAACAUGUGUAGAUACUUCACCUCCUGGUGUCCUAUCCCGCAAAAUGGGCUUCCUGCCUGGUUUUACUCUUCUCAUGUUUUGUAAAUGGUCCCCUGUGUUUGUAGAGAACUCCCUUAUACAGAGGAGUUUUGGUUCUAGUUUUAUUUCGUAGAUUUUGCAUUUUAUACCUUUUGAGACUAUGUAUUUAUAUUUGGAUCAGAUGCAUAUUUAUUAAUGUACAGUCACUGCUAGUGUUCAAAAUAAAAAUGUUACAAAU